ensembl:lncRNA
GGCUGAAAUGAUUAUGCAGUCACAUGUCAGUAGGAUUUAAACAGAUACAGCUGAGUUUGUUUGUUUUUUAUUCUCUUUUAAAUUUGACAUGGUUGCUAAUUGGUUUGCCAGGUGUUUGUUAUUAAAUAACCUCUAGUUAAAUUAAACAAGUUGCAUUUCUCAUGCAAAAUGGGAGUGCAAUUUCUCAGAAGAUAAAGUGUGGCAGAAGUGAUGUGUCUGGCAUGAAAAACAUGGAUAUAAUUUUGGAAAAAUGGAGAGGGUUCAUAAAAAUCUUGGGGAAAGUGUGAGUCAAAUAGAGAAAUGGUGGUAAGGUGGGUGUAUUGUGUAGUUUUGUUGCUUUUUCACCUUACUGUGUGGAGUUACACAUGUGCUCCCUGUGUCUGUCCAGAAGACAUGCAUGGUAGGUGCCUAUUCUGUAUUCCACACAAACAUGGAUGUAUACUAAAGUGCUUAAGGGCUUGGAGUAAAUGAACCAUAUUUUUAAAGCAGACUUCUAAUAAACAAAAUAAAAACAUGUUUCCAAGAGACCAGAUAUCUGUAAUUUUAAAACUGUUUGAUCCACCAGUGAAAGCCUUGCUACUAUGGUCCAGGUGGAUUGGGUUCUAGAUGAUUGGUAAACACCAACCUAACUCACCAAGCAUAAGGCAGAGGGAUCUGAACUGGAAUACUGUGUAGCGAGAUGAUUAGACCCACUUCAUUGUGUCAAAAUGUCCUCAUAGGUGUAUUGUGAUCCCAACUUGGCAAUGUCCUAACAUGCUAUGGAAAGGUUUUUCUUUUAUAGGCUCCCUGGUUGCUCAAAAGGAAAACCACAGUGUGGCCAUUAUAACCUUCUGACCUUAACUCUAUUAAGGACCUGGGCUGGCAUCUUCAGAUCAAAUAGGCUGAGAGGAGGUUGUUUACUUGAACUGGUUGGGAAUGAUACUUGGACUUAAGAUGGAGUGCCUUCAUUCAGAUCGUCUGUUACACAUCAUUCAUGAGCUAGCCUGGAAUCGACGGCUCAAGGAGAAGAAAUUUGAAGUCUUAUUUGUCAAUUGUUCUGGUUUUUAACAAAUAAAGCUACUUGAAUACAU